UUUAACAGCGGUUUUGUAAAACCUACUAUAAAAUUAUUUCAACUUAUAAUAUAUUUGACGAGUUGUUCAUUGGUCCAAUUUAACAACAAUUUUUCUCAAAGCCGCUGUUAAAUUUUGCAUUCAAAGAACCACUUCCUACCAAAACAGACAACACACAGAGGAGGAAAAGAUGAAGAAGAAAAAGAAGAAAAAGAGGAAGAAGAAAAAGAAGAAGAACAAGAACAAGAAUAAGAAGUAGCCAAUAAUCUCAAUCUCCAACCGUCUCCAACUCUCCAAGUCUCGAUCUCCAACUCUC
rnacentral:lncRNA from 1 species